GGUUGCCCAGGGAAACUGGAAUUCCCUUCUGGGCCGGAAAGGUCGCCUUCUUCAGCGCGGACAAGCUUGCUGUCCCGUUCGCUUUUUUGCAUUUUGGAGAAAACACCACCACCCCCCAUUCCGGAUGGAGGCCUAGCACGAACUCAUUGAUGUUCUAAAUAGUUUUAGAUUGGAAGCUAAGCCAAAUUGGCCUUGAUAAAGGGCUGUGGAAAAAUCACCAGAAAAUUCCAUGGCUAUAAACUAAUGUGGAAAGUCAACAAAAACAUUAUUGAAGAAUGUAAGAAAACUAUUUGGAUGUGUCCAUGAAGUCACUAGGAAUCGAGGUUGACUUGAAGGAGACUUAAACAUUAAUCAACUUGAUGGAUUGGAAAUAUGACAGAGCUAAAGCAGCAUAUAAUAUUAGCGCCUAUUAUUCUACAAAUUAUGCCUUCACCUAUUGUUCUCAAGGCAAGAGACAUGCUGUACAUUAAAAUGUGUUUAUUUUUCUGCUCUCUUGUUGAGAAACCUGAUCCUUCGUACUUCCCUCAUUCUUUUGGUUUUACUGAUUUGAAGUUACGGUUUAGUUCAGAAAUACCAUAUAUGAAUAAUUCUUUUUCUGUGCUGGUGAAUUUUAUAUGUAUGACUUGUUUACAUUUAUAGCAAUAUCAUCUCCAGAACUCAGUAGGAACAACAAAGUAAUCUUUCUGGCUAGAACAAUACAAAAUUUAAUGCAGUUCAUUGAAAUUUAUCUUGCUGAAUUUUCAUUUUUAGACAUACAAAACUGUUCAUAAAAGACUUCUAAAAUCAUAACUUUUAUUUUAGGAAUAUAAGAAACUGUAUUAUAUUGCCUCAGAUUAUUGCCCAUUUAGGGAGUGCUGUAUUGUCUGUACCAAUCUUUCCCAACCUAGGAUUCCUUCAGGAGCAUGAACCAAUCCUAUGCUGGUCCAUAGGGACUAGCGAUAACAUUUCAGGUUUCUAGAUGUGCAUGUAGAUAUUGAGGUUUUAGUGCAUCUUAAUGUUAGCUCACUUUAUCUUAAACAGCAUAUCAUAGAAACACUUGUCAUACUUGCCUUGCUUUGAUUGUUCCCUAUUUUUUUAUUGAUCACCUUGUAUAUUAUUCAGUGGAAAGGUCUGUCAGCGGUCCCCAACUUUUUUGGCACCAGGGAUUGGUUUUGUGGAAGACAAUUUUUCCACAGACCAGAGGAAUGGUUUUGGUUUCACUCCUCUCCCGCCACUUCCACUUGUGCUGUGGCCCAGUUCUGGGGGUUGGGGACUCUUGGUCUACACUGCAUGAACAGAUUAAUAUUAAUGUUAUAAUGGAAAAAAGUAUUCCAUUAUGACACUUGGCUAUAGUUAACUUCUCUGU